UACGGAGGGGGCUAGCGUUGUUCGGAAUUACUGGGCGUAAAGCGCACGUAGGCGGCUUUGUAAGUUAGAGGUGAAAGCCCAGGGCUCAACCCUGGAAUUGCCUUUAAGACUGCAUCGCUUGAACAUCGGAGAGGUAAGUGGAAUUCCGAGUGUAGAGGUGAAAUUCGUAGAUAUUCGGAAGAACACCAGUGGCGAAGGCGACUUACUGGACGAUUGUUGACGCUGAGGAGCGAAAGCGUGGGGAGCAAACAGG
rnacentral:rRNA from 1 species